GGGGUUGUAGCUCAGUGGUAGAGUGAUUGCCUAGCAUGCAUGAGGCACUGGGUUCGAUCCUCAGCACCA
rnacentral:tRNA from 1 species